rnacentral:rRNA from 1 species
AUUGAACGCUGGCGGCAGGCCUAACACAUGCAAGUCGAGCGAGCGGCGGACGGGUGAGUAAUGUAUGGGGACUGCCCGAUAGAGGGGGAUAACUACUGGAAACGGUAGCUAAUACCGCAUACUAUCGGAUAACCCAUAUGGGAUUAGCUAGUAGGUGAGUUAAUGGCUCACCUAGGCGACGAUCCCUAGCUGGUCUGAGAGGAUGAUCAGCAAAACUGGGACUGAGACACGGCCCAGACUCCAAGGGAGGAAGCAGUGGGAAAUAUUGCACAAUGGGCGCAAGCCUACUGCAGCCAUGCCGAGUGUAUGAAGAAGGCCCUAGGGUUGGAAAGUACUUUCAGUCGGGAGGCGUUACCGACAGAGGAAGCACCGGCUAACUCCGUGCCAGCCGCCGCGGUAAUAC